rnacentral:rRNA from 1 species
GAGUUUGAUCCUGGCUCAGGAUGAACGCUGGCGGCGUGCCUAAUACAUGCAAGUCGAGCGAACAGAUAAGGAGCUUGCUCCUUUGACGUUAGCGGCGGACGGGUGAGUAACACGUGGGUAACCUACCUAUAAGACUGGAAUAACUCCGGGAAACCGGGGCUAAUGCCGGAUAACAUUUAGAACCGCAUGGUUCUAAAGUGAAAGAUGGUUUUGCUAUCACUUAUAGAUGGACCCGCGCCGUAUUAGCUAGUUGGUAAGGUAACGGCUUACCAAGGCAACGAUACGUAGCCGACCUGAGAGGGUGAUCGGCCACACUGGAACUGAGACACGGUCCAGACUCCUACGGGAGGCAGCAGUAGGGAAUCUUCCGCAAUGGGCGAAAGCCUGACGGAGCAACGCCGCGUGAGUGAUGAAGGUCUUCGGAUCGUAAAACUCUGUUAUUAGGGAAGAACAAAUGUGUAAGUAACUGUGCACGUCUUGAC